AUAAUUACCUGGCAGGGGAGGGACCAUGAUCACAAAGAUGGUUUUCCCAGGGGGAAGCUUAUCCACUGUACUCUCGAUGGGCUGACCCCUGGGAUUUCCCCAAAUGUGGGAAGCUUAACUGCAUAAUUUGUGGUAGUGGGGAACUGUGUUCAAACUAGAGACCAAAAAAAAAAAACCCAA
rnacentral:snRNA from 1 species